AAGAAUGUGUAAAUUUCAGCAAUUUACACCAGUUUGGACACUAAUCUGGCAACGUUAAUUUAACAGAGCCGUUCAAAGCUCUUCCCACUUGUUGCAAUUGGAGAGUGUUUAACUUGUACCCAGGUGUGUGUUCCCCUUGGCGGUGGUCUCAGGUCCUGGCAGGAAUACCCCACCCACUGCUGUUACACCAAUCUGAGCAGCCUUGGAGUAAAUGCUGUUCACCCAGCAGGGUUGGGAAAGGAAGCACAGCCUAACAAAAAACUGCUCCAGAGGAGCUGCUGAGAGGUGUGCUGUUCCUGAUUAUCCCAUCCUUUUCUUCUGAUUGGCCUGGAAAUUGUACCUGCCUGGUUGCUGCCUCCUGUUGCUGGGCUUUUUAACCCACAGCUUUUGAAGUGCUUCCAGAUUGUACCUAAAGCUGAGCCCAGAUCUGUGGGAGAGGAGAGUAUAACAUUACCUGCUCUGCUGAAGUUGGAGGUGGGGUGCUGAGUGUUAAAGGCUUACACUGGACAUCUGCACAGGGGCUCUGGCUUCUUCACCUGGCUCUGCUGCUCCAGCUGAAUGGUCCUGGCUGUUACCUCUGCAUAAAACUACAAGGAAGGGUAGGCAGGUAGGAUGGAGGAUGCCCCCAGUCAGCUUUUUCGCCUGUGAUGUGAGGCACCACUGAAGAUAGAGUCUUCUUCACACACAGAACAUAUCUGGAAAAUGCAUUGCAGUGUUUUGAAAGGCUGGGAGAGAGGUCACAAUUAUAAGUGUGGACAGGCAGUCUGCUGCUUGGGACAGCAUUUAGGAAGAGGAGACCAUUUUUCUGCAUUUUGUAAUACCCUCGGUGUGGCUCCUGCCGCGGUUAUCGCUCCCGAUCCCUGGCUGGGGACAUGGAGGCCAGCUGUGCUGUUAGAGAAGUGCCAUCGUGGGAAGCUGGAGCUGCAGCCAGUGUGGCCGGGAUAUCAGCACUGCUUCUGACAUUCUUGGACCCCUCCUCCUUGCUGCUCUCCUAUUUCCCCACUCGCACUUCCCCCAGAUAAUUUAAGCUCCAGAAAUCAGAUGAAAAUUCCUACUCAGCAAUUUAUUUUUCUCCCCUCCCCCUACGCUUUUAAUCCCAGGAGCUUGUUCAGGGAGAAAUAUGUGCUAUCUCAGACAUAUGUGGGUGUGAAAGAGUGCGCUUAGUAAGGGCUUUCUUCAGGUUAAGAAAACAGCAAACUCGUUCUGUGACAUUCUCUCAUCCUUCGGUGACCUGUGCAAGGCACAGGGAGUGUUGUGCAUACACCUGAAGCUAAAACAAAGCUGAAAAACAUCUAAAACGCUGCAGUUGUUGGGUGGGGUUGGAGUGAAUGAGCAGGUGCAUACCAAAGCAAAAUUAUCUUGGGUUGUGUUCCUGUCCUGUUUCAUAAUCAUUAGGCAGGUUUGGGGGCAGAAAACUUCCAAGAAAAAGGGAAAGAAGAGUGGGAAAUGGCAGUUCAGAAGUCAGUGGCUUUCCUGCAAUCAGCCCAGUAGUUGCUCCUAGCUGCCUGACUGCCAGGGUUUGGCAGAGAUUUAGAAGCUGAGUAUCUGUUGACUGUCAGGGCAGUGCUGUCAGUCACCUACGUUCAGGUUAAUGCUUCAGGGAGCUGGCCAAACUCCAGGGGAUAACUCGCCUAAAUAAAGAUAUCAUUGCUCUUUUCUUGGAACUAGAUGUUCUUCCCUCCUCCCUCAGUCUUUUGCUCCUUCUUUGUGCUGUGGAAAAAUGAGACGGCUUUGCACAAUUUGGGGGAUGUUCACAUGUAGAGGAAAAUUUCUCAUCCCUGCAGGAAAAAAAAAACCAACUUGAAUCUAGAAAUCUUAAAAUUAAGAUUGACCCAGAUUAAUGUGUGUUUUUCAGAACAGGAUGAACUGAACAGAUAGGCUGAAAAAUGCAGUGAGUAAUAUAUGUAAACUCAAGCCUUUGGUAUGCAGCUUAAUCUGGCACAGCACCCAACUUGCCUGACUAAUCUGCUUUAUGUCAGCAUGACAAGGUUUGUUGGAAGUGAUGAUAUCUUUUAGUAGACAAAGUAAUUUAGUUGGCUAUCUGUUAGUAGUAUUAGACAAGGUUUCAGGCAUAUAAGUCCUUCUGCAGACCACCUGAAAGCUUAAAAGAAGGUGUCACCUUUGCUUUUAGCUGACCUGUGGAAACAGUUGGGAGCUUAAAGCUUGCCUGCUCUCUCAAUCUUUUCUGCUUAGUUUUAUGAAGGAUUUAUUCUACCUUGUCUACAUGAUGUCUAGAGACUAACUUAUCCACCCAAGAGUACAAUAAUUUCCUUCUUUCAAAUGUUCCUCUGUGUUAACAGGAAAAAUUUCAGAACAGCUGGGCUUGGGUGGUUUAGGUUUUGGGGUACCCAGAUUUUCUUUGCUGGUCAUCUGCUCUGUGCUGUAGAUAUUCUGUAUUGUAUUAAAAUCAGAGCCUCUUGUGAUAUUUGAAUUUGUGUAUCCAAAGGAGACAUUUAAAGUCAGUAACCACUAUUGAAAAGCACAAAUUUUGAAGUUAAUUGUAAUAAGAUAAAAGACAAUAAAUUAGUUAAGUUUCUCUUCUUCUGUGUUUGCCUUCAGCAAAGAGGAAGAAGAAAUGAAGUUACUUAGACACUUGCCUGUGUUGUGGAUUAGGAGUGAUAAAGUCAAAUAGCUACCAAAUGCUUUACAAAAAUAGCAAAAUCUAGCAAGCGAGUAAAGGAAUACUCAAACUGAAGCCGAAAAAGAAAAUAAUGAAAACCAUCCUCUCUCAUGAAUAGUUUUGGUCCUCAUUAUAGAUUAGUAGUUUUGUGAGAUGAUGUAGAAAUGUUCCUUAUUAUCACAGCUUUAUUGCCUACCUCUGUACAUCUGUUCCAAAAUUCAUUUCAAAAUGGCCAGACAUUUCAAUAAUCCAGUGUGGCUUGGAAUUUUCAUAUUGUUUCUGGUGCGUUAAAAUCUGGAUGGAAAGCUGGUACUUUUAAAUUUACAAUUGCACAGACCGCACAACAUCUGGGUAGCUUUGCUCUAUUGCUUUCCCUGUUCCUUUAAAUUUAGAAUGAAGUUAUGAUGUGCAUGAAAGGCUAAAGACCUUGUGUGUGGCAGGUGUUAUUUCAAGCUGACAAAAAUUCAGUAAUAUGUUCAUUUUUCUUUGAUAUAGCCUUUUACAAAAAUGCAUAAAGCACUGAUCCAAACCUUGGCAAUAUAGUUUUAUUUUUUAAAAAAGGCAAAUGGGGCAUUUUCUGGACUAGGAUAAAUUAACAAUUAACUUAUAUAUGUGCAUGUGUUUAUGUUUAUUAAAAAAUAUAUUCAUGAAAUGUUUCCCUAAGAAGUUAUUUAUUAUUAUUCCCUACAAUUAAAGCUUCUCUGUUGAGAUGCAUUUACAUACUUUCUGGUGGAUCAGUAAAAUGUUUUGGGCUCUUAUUUUCCAAGAAUGAUAACACUGAGGAAAAUUGCAAACUUCUUUUAUAUAUUACAUAUAAUAUAUCAUGCACACUACAUAUAUAGAUUCCUAAGAAAUGUCUUGAUGAGUUACCCAUCACUGGCAGUCCAGCAGCCAUAACUAAAGUGAUCUGAGAUCUUUAGCAGAGUGAAACAUCCUGGUUCUAGUGGUCAGUGCUGAGCUUUUCUGCUUUACAUGAGCCAAGACAUAGUUGAUAUAUGGCUAAUCUGCCCAAUACACCCAUGGCAUCCUAAAUAUGGCCUGUAUAAGAAGACCUCUUUAGCCUGCAGGGUUAGUACUUGUAUUUCUAUUUAAAGACAAAUAAACAAAAAAUUCCAAACCAAAACCCCUAUGCCCUCCCAACCCUCCCAAAAUCAUAAUUCAUAAAUAUGUGAAAGGAUGCAAACUUUAUAUGCAUUGUCCCUGUGUCUGAUUGAACCAAAAAUCUUUGGGGAGAUUUUUAAAUGCUGCACACCUGAAUCUUCUGAAUGAGUCCGUGGGGCUUUCUGUAUUGCUGCUCGUGUUGAGCAAGAGAAAAAUGAAUUUUGGGGAAAACCGUGCAUGUAACCAAAUUCCAGCUUAAUGGUUUUACUCCUUUAUCCUUUGGAGUCCCUGUGACCUCCUCUGAGAGACAUAUGGGAGGGUGCUUGUGGCUGGAAUAUUUGGUUAAAAGCCCAUCCCAGUUGUGUUUGGCGUUACUCUUGAGGUGGGUAUAGUGCUGUUUUGCCAGAACACGUCUGAUCAAACUGCAUUUUCAACCUGACCUUCUCCUCACCCCUAAUAACUUCCUGGUUGCUCGGUCAGAGAGAGAUUUAUGAGCAAGGACAAAGUGUGAUGUGUCUGUCCCAGCAGCAAGGGAAACCAGAAAACUUAUUAAGAAAGAAGGGAGGGGGAAAGAAGAGAGAGAAUGAGAAAGAGAGACUGAAAGCGAGUCUGGGUUUCAGACAGAAGCACUUCAGCUUCUGGUCUACUGUAAUUACCCAGCCACUGAAGAAAUAAAACGUUGAAAAAUCAAUUUUAUAAAAAAAUCAAUGUUUUAAACAAUUUGAAAAGCUCUCAUAAUUUUAAAUCCCUCUGCAAUGUGCGUGUUCAGAGCCCUGAUCACCUUCAAAGUGAAGUGCUCCAAAAACUUUAAAUUGUUCUGCACAGAAUAGGCUCUGAACCCCCAUUUCACUACCAAAUGGAAGAAGUCUUGAAAAUGUGAAGCAUACCAAUAACUUUUCAAUAAACCUCUCUGCCCAACCCUACCCAUGCUUCCAUGAAAUUCAUACAUCUCAGAAUUUCAGUGUUUUAUUUCUGUUGAAAAAAAUUCUGCUUGUAGUCUGUAAAGAUGAUUUUUGUCUACUAUAGUAAGAGAUUUUUUUUUUAAAGUUAAAAAUAUGAAGGACUUUCUCAGGUUUUUAGUUACUGAAAUGGUCUUUCCCAUUUUUCCCUUUAAAAGUUUUUCUAUUUUUUCCUGUAUUUAGUCCAGACAAAAAGUACAAAUUGAUGAGUAUAGCUGUUAUCGUUUCCUAACUUACAGCUCUGUGCAGAAAGUGAUUUUACAUUGAAUUGUAAUUUCAUUCACAAGGGCUUUAGACCUUAUAUAAUUAAAAUACCUCAAUCCUCUUCAAAUUAGAAAAGCAAAUUGUUACAUAUCAUAAGUAGGUGCUUUUCACUCUAAUGACAGUCACUUAGAUGAUUUAUGACAUACAUUAUUUUAUAUCAAAGUACAAUGAAAUAGGCAUUACCAAAGGUAAUCUCAGUAAUGUCUGAAAAGGGAUCUCAAACCUCAGUGCAACAAUGAAUGCAGUAUUUAAAAUGCAAAACCCAAAGACAUUAUUAUGGUUUUGAUUUCUUAUGCCACAGCUUCUCCUGAUCUGUUAUAUUAGUACAGCAAUACAAAGGGUGUUUUCGAUGUAUUUUGCUAAGAUAACAGACGGGAAAAAUGAAAUAUAAAGUCAGGUUUUAUGCAGAAAUUGUUAUCAAAGGGAUGAUAAAGUAAAACUGCAUAAUCGCAAGGAAAAACAAUUGAUGAUGUGCAAACUGAAAUAUAUU